UAAUGCAUCAGCAGUGGCUAGGAUUUGCCGCUCUCAACGAGAGUUUCGUCACUCCUGUAGUGCCGGCAAGGCCCGGGUUCGAUUCCCGGUGUCGGAA
rnacentral:tRNA from 1 species